rnacentral:rRNA from 1 species
AGUGAACGCUGGCGGUAGGCCUAACACAUGCAAGUCGAACGGCAGCACAGUAAGAGCUUGCUCUUACGGGUGGCGAGUGGCGGACGGGUGAGGAAUACAUCGGAAUCUACUUUUUCGUGGGGGAUAACGUAGGGAAACUUACGCUAAUACCGCAUACGACCUACGGGUGAAAGCAGGGGAUCUUCGGACCUUGCGCGAUUGAAUGAGCCGAUGUCGGAUUAGCUAGUUGGCGGGGUAAAGGCCCACCAAGGCGACGAUCCGUAGCUGGUCUGAGAGGAUGAUCAGCCACACUGGGACUGAGACACGGUCCAGGCUCCUACGGGAGGCAGCAGUGGGGAAUAGUGGAAAAUGGGCGCAAGCCUGAUCCAGCCAUACCGCGUGGGUGAAGAAGGCCUUCGGGUUGUAAAGCCCUUUUGUUGGGAAAGAAAAGCAGCAGGUUAAUACCCCGCUGUUCUGACGGUACCCAAAGAAUAAGCACCGGCUAACUUCGUG